UACAGAGGUCUCAAGCGUUGUUCGGAUUCAUUGGGCGUAAAGGGUGUGUAGGUGGCGCGCUAAGUCGGGUGUGAAAUUUCGGAGCUUAACUCCGAAACUGCAUUCGAUACUGGCGUGCUUGAGGACUGGAGAGGAGACUGGAAUUCAUGGUGUAGCAGUGAAAUGCGUAGAGAUCAUGAGGAAGACCAGUGGCGAAGGCGGGUCUCUGGGCCGAUACUGACGCUGAGGAGCGAAAGCGUGGGGAGCGAACAGG
rnacentral:rRNA from 1 species